rnacentral:rRNA from 1 species
UUAAGCGACUAAGCGUACACGGUGGAUGCCCUGGCAGUCAGAGGCGAUGAAGGACGUGCUAAUCUGCGAUAAGCGUCGGUAAGGUGAUAUGAACCGUUAUAACCGGCGAUUUCCGAAUGGGGAAACCCAGUGUGAUUCGUCACACUAUCAUUAACUGAAUCCAUAGGUUAAUGAGGCGAACCGGGGGAACUGAAACAUCUAAGUACCCCGAGGAAAAGAAAUCAACCGAGAUUCCCCCAGUAGCGGCGAGCGAACGGGGAGCAGCCCAGAGCCUGAAUCAGUGUGUGUGUUAGUGGAAGCGUCUGGAAAGGCGCGCGAUACAGGGUGACAGCCCCGUACACAAAAAUGCACAUGCUGUGAGCUCGAUGAGUAGGGCGGGACACGUGGUAUCCUGUCUGAAUAUGGGGGGACCAUCCUCCAAGGCUAAAUACUCCUGACUGACCGAUAGUGAACCAGUACCGUGAGGGAAAGGCGAAAAGAACCCCGGCGAGGGGAGUGAAAAAGAACCUGAAACCGUGUACGUACAAGCAGUGGGAGCACGCUUAGGCGUGUGACUGCGUACCUUUUGUAUAAUGGGUCAGCGACUUAUAUUCUGUAGCAAGGUUAACCGAAUAGGGGAGCCGAAGGGAAACCGAGUCUUAACUGGGCGUUAAGUUGCAGGGUAUAGACCCGAAACCCGGUGAUCUAGCCAUGGGCAGGUUGAAGGUUGGGUAACACUAACUGGAGGACCGAACCGACUAAUGUUGAAAAAUUAGCGGAUGACUUGUGGCUGGGGGUGAAAGGCCAAUCAAACCGGGAGAUAGCUGGUUCUCCCCGAAAGCUAUUUAGGUAGCGCCUCGUGAACUCAUCUCCGGGGGUAGAGCACUGUUUCGGCAAGGGGGUCAUCCCGACUUACCAACCCGAUGCAAACUGCGAAUACCGGAGAAUGUUAUCACGGGAGACACACGGCGGGUGCUAACGUCCGUCGUGAAGAGGGAAACAACCCAGACCGCCAGCUAAGGUCCCAAAGUCAUGGUUAAGUGGGAAACGAUGUGGGAAGGCCCAGACAGCCAGGAUGUUGGCUUAGAAGCAGCCAUCAUUUAAAGAAAGCGUAAUAGCUCACUGGUCGAGUCGGCCUGCGCGGAAGAUGUAACGGGGCUAAACCAUGCACCGAAGCUGCGGCAGCGACGCUGAUGCGUUGUUGGGUAGGGGAGCGUUCUGUAAGCCUGUGAAGGUGUGCUGUGAGGCAUGCUGGAGGUAUCAGAAGUGCGAAUGCUGACAUAAGUAACGAUAAAGCGGGUGAAAAGCCCGCUCGCCGGAAGACCAAGGGUUCCUGUCCAACGUUAAUCGGGGCAGGGUGAGUCGACCCCUAAGGCGAGGCCGAAAGGCGUAGUCGAUGGGAAACAGGUUAAUAUUCCUGUACUUGGUGUUACUGCGAAGGGGGGACGGAGAAGGCUAUGUUGGCCGGGCGACGGUUGUCCCGGUUUAAGCGUGUAGGCUGGUUUUCCAGGCAAAUCCGGAAAAUCAAGGCUGAGGCGUGAUGACGAGGCACUACGGUGCUGAAGCAACAAAUGCCCUGCUUCCAGGAAAAGCCUCUAAGCAUCAGGUAACAUCAAAUCGUACCCCAAACCGACACAGGUGGUCAGGUAGAGAAUACCAAGGCGCUUGAGAGAACUCGGGUGAAGGAACUAGGCAAAAUGGUGCCGUAACUUCGGGAGAAGGCACGCUGAUAUGUAGGUGAAGUCCCUCGCGGAUGGAGCUGAAAUCAGUCGAAGAUACCAGCUGGCUGCAACUGUUUAUUAAAAACACAGCACUGUGCAAACACGAAAGUGGACGUAUACGGUGUGACGCCUGCCCGGUGCCGGAAGGUUAAUUGAUGGGGUCAGCGCAAGCGAAGCUCUUGAUCGAAGCCCCGGUAAACGGCGGCCGUAACUAUAACGGUCCUAAGGUAGCGAAAUUCCUUGUCGGGUAAGUUCCGACCUGCACGAAUGGCGUAAUGAUGGCCAGGCUGUCUCCACCCGAGACUCAGUGAAAUUGAACUCGCUGUGAAGAUGCAGUGUACCCGCGGCAAGACGGAAAGACCCCGUGAACCUUUACUAUAGCUUGACACUGAACAUUGAGCCUUGAUGUGUAGGAUAGGUGGGAGGCUUAGAAGUGUGGACGCCAGUCUGCAUGGAGCCGACCUUGAAAUACCACCCUUUAAUGUUUGAUGUUCUAACGUUGACCCGUAAUCCGGGUUGCGGACAGUGUCUGGUGGGUAGUUUGACUGGGGCGGUCUCCUCCUAAAGAGUAACGGAGGAGCACGAAGGUUGGCUAAUCCUGGUCGGACAUCAGGAGGUUAGUGCAAUGGCAUAAGCCAGCUUGACUGCGAGCGUGACGGCGCGAGCAGGUGCGAAAGCAGGUCAUAGUGAUCCGGUGGUUCUGAAUGGAAGGGCCAUCGCUCAACGGAUAAAAGGUACUCCGGGGAUAACAGGCUGAUACCGCCCAAGAGUUCAUAUCGACGGCGGUGUUUGGCACCUCGAUGUCGGCUCAUCACAUCCUGGGGCUGAAGUAGGUCCCAAGGGUAUGGCUGUUCGCCAUUUAAAGUGGUACGCGAGCUGGGUUUAGAACGUCGUGAGACAGUUCGGUCCCUAUCUGCCGUGGGCGCUGGAGAACUGAGGGGGGCUGCUCCUAGUACGAGAGGACCGGAGUGGACGCAUCACUGGGUUCGGGUUGUCAUGCCAAUGGCACUGCCCGGUAGCUAAAUGCGGAAGAGAUAAGUGCUGAAAGCAUCUAAGCACGAAACUUGCCCCGAGAUGAGUUCUCCCUGACCCUUUAAGGGUCCUGAAGGAACGUUGAAGACGACGACGUUGAUAGGCCGGGUGUGUAAGCGCAGCGAUGCGUUGAGCUAACCGGUACUAAUGAACCGUGAGGCUUAACCUU